GGUCAAGAGAUGCUUCUGGAAGCCAGGGUCUGGAGGUGGAAACCUCAGGAAUCUACCUGCUGCUCUACUCUACUGCAGUCAGCAUGAUCUCAGCAUGAUGGAGGACAGGGAAGAUAAAAACAAAAUGGAGCUCUUAUUGCCAAAGGGAUUUUUAUCCAGUGGAAGGCUGACUUCACCAGAGCAAGAAAAAUCAGCCAGAGGCAUCUGGGA